rnacentral:rRNA from 1 species
GACUCCUUGAGAGUCCUGAAGGAACGUUGAAGACGACGACGUUGAUAGGCCGGGUGUGUAAGCGCAGCGAUGCGUUGAGCUAACCGGUACUAAUGAACCGUGAGGCUUAACCUUACAACGCCGAAGCUGUU